UACGGAGGUGCAAGCGUUAUCCGGAUUCACUGGGUUUAAAGGGUGCGUAGGCGGCGCGGUAAGUCGGGUGUGAAAUCUCGGAGCUUAACUUCCGAAACUGCAUCGAUACUGCCGUGCUUGAGGACUGGAGAGGAGACUGGAAUUUACGGUGUAGCGGUGAAAUGCGUAGAUAUCGUAAGGAAGACCAGUGGCGAAGGCGGGUCUCUGGGCCGGAUACUGACGUGAGGAAGCGAAAGCGUGG
rnacentral:rRNA from 1 species